CCUUGGUUUCCAUAACUACAUACCAACAACAAUAAAUACCACACAGUGGGUGUCACAGAAGUAGAGUUGUUGUGUGUAAAGCAACUAACACAGUCCUGGCACUCAGGCGGCUCUUAAUAGAUGGUAUGAAAAGGGUGUCUUUUCCCUCUGCCUCACCCCUCUCAAUAGUACAAAUAAAACCCCCCACAAGAUUAAAGAAGAGAGUUAAAGCAAGAAUCCUCAUGACAAGGGGUGGCUACUCUGGCAUUUUCAAGUCUUGAGGUUGCUGUUUUCCAGGGGGUGAUGUGAUAUGACCCUAGCCAACAUGUAGAGCUGGUUUUGUGGACUGUGCCUGUGUGCUUGUGAGAAAGCAGAGCGACAGAGGGAGGCAGAGUUAGAGCUAGUUGCAGAAGGAAAGUGCAAUUUCUGAACAGGGGCAGACCUGCCUGACUUGGAUAUCAGCUUCUCCAUGAAAAUAUGCAGUGCCUAAAAUUUACACUGAUCGAUUUGUUCACGAGAAAGGACAUUUCUAAAAGAGCCAGGAGACUGCCCCCAGAACCAAGAGGAGUACUGGAGAGCAGAAGAUGAAGAAAAACCUUUAAACAGCAGAGCAGUGAAGUGGAGGGAGAGGCGGCCCCUCUCCUUUGCCAGAGACUCCCACUCCCAGAUGCAGGCUGGAGCGAUCCCUCAUAAUUUAAGCUGACACCCCUCAGCGGAGAUGAAAGGAACACCACUCGCUGCUCUCCAACAACAAAUGUCAGCAUCCCUGGAGGCCGUUUAGACACAAACGCAGCAUAAAUCUGACUCCUAGUGGGGAAGUCCAGAGAUUAAGUCUCCACACACAGCCUACCAGAGUGAAAUGAAUUUGCUUGGCACAAAGUUUGAA
rnacentral:lncRNA from 1 species